GUUGGAGCUGCUCUCUGGGAUCUGGUUAGCAGCUAAUGAUCAGUGGGCUCUGGCUAUAAUGAUCGGAUUAGCUGCGCUUUAAUCACUGUCUAUUGUUUCAGCAGGGAGAGAAUUUCACAGCUCAUUGACUGCUCUGACUCCUAAUCUACACCGAGGAAACAAUGUUGCAGCUCAUCAAAUGCAAUCAGCUGCUAAUUGAAAGGAAAUGGAAUUUUACAAUUACAGGCCACCUUUCAGUGCUCAGGAUUUCUAAGCACUUCUCCCCACCUUCCUUUGCCAGCUCAGCACUGGCAGGAGCACUUGACAACCUGCUAGAGACUUCCCUAAAAGCUGCAUUUAGGACCUGGCCCGUUCUCCCCAGCUCCAGAGCAGCAGCAAAGGGAAGCAGCGUCCUCGCCAAUACCUGGGCUGUCCUUCAAGGCUCAGUGCAAGGAAAAACACCUGGGUUGGACAUCAGAUAAGGAAAUUGAGACUCAAAGAGGACCCCCAUGGAGAAAGUAAUGAAGCUUGAAUUUAGACCCAAGAUCAUGUCCCUUUCACUUCCUCAGCCUGCCCAGGAAGUUUAUAGCGUGCUCAUGCCACAAACCCUGGAGCUGGAUACGCGCUCAAUUGGCUUGAAGACCUUGGGUAGUGCUGACUUCCAGACCACUGAGGUCACCUGCAUAAGCGAGUCUGGCAACAAAUAAUCGUCUUCCAGAAAAUGACCAGAAACUCAGCCUGCUUUUUGUCAUUUCACCAGCCCCACCAUCUUUCCUUUAUUCUAGAGCUCCUGGCACACUUACAUGAAUCUCUUGAAAGAAGAGAAAUGAGAGCAUUCAUUCCAUACUAAUACAAUUGUGCCCUAUGGAAAGGCUUUUUGCUGGCAGACAUAGUAGACGGACCAUUUCCCAACUUCUUUUUCUUUGCCACCUUCCAGCCAAAGGUGUCCAUAUGACACAGCUCUGGACAGGAUAAUUGGAAGUCUGUUGUGGGAUUUCUGAGAAAGCUUUUGAUUUUCUGACAGAGACAUUUUUGCUUCCCCUUACCACUUCCUACUGGAUUACAGAUGUGAUGGAAAGAGCUGCAGCAGCCAUAAUACAACCAUAAAGGAGAGGAGAAGAGAAUUGCAAAGGCAUCAACCCACAUUGAAUUGAACUGCUAAGUUAACACUAGCAGUUACUUGCCUCCAGAUAUCUUGGUGUGUGAGAACAUUAAAUCUGUAUGUGUCUAAAUCAGUAUGGGUGAACAUUUCUGUCACUAAAGUCAAAAGCAUCCCUGAAACAGUGCAUGAUUCCAUAUGACCCUUACCACAACCCUGGUAAAUAGGUAUAAUUAUCCUUCAUUUAAACAUGACGAAAUUAAAGUUGGGA
rnacentral:lncRNA from 10 species